rnacentral:rRNA from 1 species
GAUGAACGCUGGCGGCGUGCUUAACACAUGCAAGUCGAACGAAGCUGCUUAACUGAUCUUCUUCGGAAUUGAUGUUUUGUAGACUGAGUGGCGGACGGGUGAGUAACGCGUGGGUAACCUACCCUGUACAGGGGGAUAACAGUCAGAAAUGACUGCUAAUACCGCAUAAGACCACAGCACCGCAUGGUGCAGGGGUAAAAGCUCCGGUGGUACAGGAUGGACCCGCGUCUGAUUAGCUGGUUGGUGAGGUAACGGCUCACCAAGGCGACGAUCAGUAGCCGGCUUGAGAGAGUGAACGGCCACAUUGGGACUGAGACACGGCCCAAACUCCUACGGGAGGCAGCAGUGGGGAAUAUUGCACAAUGGGGGAAACCCUGAUGCAGCGACGCCGCGUGAGUGAAGAAGUAUCUCGGUAUGUAAAGCUCUAUCAGCAGGGAAGAAAAUGACGGUAC